UAUUAAAUAGUCCCUAUACUACUAAAUUAUAAGUCGGAGACUAUUUAAAAUGACAAAUUCUUUACAAUUUGGCAACACCCAUCAAUCGCCGGGUCGCCUGUUCAUUCUUUAUUCUCUCGUAGUAGAGCCAUAGUAGAGUAAAGCACGUGUCGUAAAACCUUGUUGUCACAGUUUCGCCAUGGCUAUUUUAUUGUUUUUAUUGGAUGUUUUGAUUUUGUAUUUUUUUGGAUUCGAUUUUCUUAGUGUGUAGUGUCGGUUUAGUGUUUAUUUUGAUUACUUUUUAUUUAAAAACUAUAAAACAUGGUUCGUCAGUGCCAAAUUUGUAAGAAAUUGGACUAUUUAAGUCCUGGAACAACAUUCCACAGAUUAUGCUGCCAAAGUUUCCUGAAUACAAUUCCGACCACUCUGUAUAUCAAGAUAUCCCCCAUUACGUACUAGUUUUUCUUAAUAAUUUUCUAUACAUUUUCCAACGCCAAGAUGUACCAAGCGCAUACAAAUACAUCAAGCUUCAAACAAGCUUGCACGUUGACAGUAAUACCUACAGUAAUAUUGUAUUAUAUUAAUGUAAUAUUUUUGAACCAAUGUUCAAUAUUACUGUAGUAAUACUGUUUAUACUCAUGCCUUUUAUAUUUGUUUGAAUUUGGUGCAUAUUUCCAUUGAAUAAAGUAUAGUCACCAUUACCAUUAUUAUACUUACUCUAUAAUAAAGACAGUAACGAGUUAAA
rnacentral:lncRNA from 1 species